GGCAUGCAUCUGUAGUUCCAGCUAUUCAGGAAGCUGAGGCGGGAGGAUCACUUGAGGCCAGGAGGCUGAGGUUGCACUGAGCUGUGUUGGUGCCACUGCACUCCAGCCUGGGCUGCAGAGUGAGACCCUGUCUCAAAAAAAGAAAAAGAAAAAAAAAAGAAAAGAAAGAAAAAGAAAAGCAAAGAAAGAAAGCAACAACUAUCUCUUCUUGGAACUUUAGGAAUUUUUAGAGGAGGUACCUGUCAUUAUGAUACUGGAACUUAUUCAGGAGUCCAGCAUGUUUCAUCAUACAUCCCGCAGGUCAUGGAAGGAGAGUGACUCCAUGAAUCUAACAUAAAGAACACAGGAAGAGGGAAUGUUGAGAAGAUGAUGAGAACUAACCUGGCACAUACUAAGUUCUUACAUUUGUGCAGCACUUUGACAUUUACAGAGUAAUCUGGAGCCAUAAUAUUAUUUGUUCCCCACAGCCAUUCUGUGGAGAAAGGACAAACUUCAUCUUCAUUUGGGAGAUGAAGAAAACCAAGGAAAUUAGGUAUAAUGAACUCAAUUAAACUCACAAAACUGGUCAAUAGCACAUCUGGGACUAGAAUUCAUGUAUCUUGAUGAGUAGUUCAGUGUUUUCCUAUUACAUCCAACUGGUAAUGCAAUCUGUAGUAUAAUUUUUAAUAAAAUGCUAUUUAGGUAUACGUGUGUGUGUUUAGG
rnacentral:lncRNA from 1 species